CCUACGGGAGGCUGCAGUAGGGAAUAUUGCUCAAUGGGGGAAACCCUGAAGCAGCAACGCCGCGUGGAGGAUGAAGGUCUUAGGAUUGUAAACUCCUUUUUUGAGAGAAGAUAAUGACGGUAUCUCACGAAUAAGCACCGGCUAACUCCGUGCCAGCAGCCGCGGUAAUACGGAGGGGGCAAGCGUUACUCGGAAUCACUGGGCGUAAAGAGUGAGCAGGGGGGCUUGUAAGUCAGAUGUGAAAUCCUGUAGCUUAACUACAGAACUGCAUUUGAAACUGUGAGUCUAGAGUGCGGGAGAGGUAGGUGGAAUUCGUGGUGUAGGGGUGAAAUGCGUAGAUAUCAAGAAGAAUGCUGAUUGCGAAGGCGGCCUACUGGAACAUUACUGACGCUCAUGCACGAAAGCGUGGGGAGCAAACAGGAUUAGAUACCCUAGUAGUC
rnacentral:rRNA from 1 species